rnacentral:lncRNA from 1 species
GAUAAUUUAGUUUGUAUCAAGUAGAUACAUUGAUAGGACACAGUGUCUGUAAAUUGUGUAUUUUAAGGAUAAUUUAGUUUGUAUCAAGUAGAUACAUUGAUAGGACACAGUGUCUGUAAAUUGUGUAUUUUAAGGAUAAUUUAGUUUGUAUCAAGUAGAUACAUUGAUAGGACACAGUGUCUGUAAAUUGUGUAUUUUAAGGAUAAUUUAGUUUGUAUCAAGUAGAUACAUUGAUAGGACACGGUGUCUGUAAAUUGUGUAUUUUAAGGAUAAUUUAGUUUGUAUCAAGUAGAUACAUUGAUAGGACACAGUGUCUGUAAAUUGUUCCUUUUUAGUAUUUUUGAUUUGUAUCAAGUAGAUACAUCAGAAACAUAGUGUACAUGUCUAGUGGCUUUCGAAGCGUUCCGUAAAUUGUAUAAUUAUGAUAUCAUUUGGCCACCACUUUUUAGAAUCACUUAAGGCAUUUUUAUUGCAUGCAACUAUAUUUAUUGCUUAUAUGUCACUUGAAACAAAUUAAAUGGGUUUAUAGGACAGCUAACUGUUAUCCGUAAAGAAAGAUCACGUUGCAAAAUUUUGCUAUUAUUGUUAUCCCAUUCUCAAAAACGGAUCAAUGUUGUCAUGGUACAUGUAUAGAAAUAACAGAAACUAAACUAGAAUAUUGUCUAAUUUAUUUGUAAAAAAUAUGAAAUGCAAAGACCAAAGGUUAAAGUCCCCUUAUUCUCUGACUUUGGUGACAAGUACCAGUGUUCAUGUGUUCUAAGUUUUAAAAGUUUGAAUACAUGUAGGAAUAAUGGAUUCAGUUUCAUUUUGAAUCGGAGAUAUGGUAAAAACCAAUAAGCAUGAAUAAAGCAGCCACAAGAAUGUACACCUUUGCCGCUUAGCUAUAUAUACAAUUGGGAGGUUGUUACAUAAAAUAGCCUGAAAUAUAUAAUAAGCCCGAUAUAUUCACAUCUGACGGCGUUACUUUAUCUCAUGUGGGCAAUUGUUUUUUUUUUUUUUUUUUUUUUUUUCUUAUUUCAUUACAGGGUAAUUUAAAUAUAAAUAUAUGUGUGUGGUCAUUUAAAAGUACGGUCACGGCGGGUGUGUUGUGUCGCUACCGCAUUUGUGGCGGUGGUCGAACUCAGUGUCCAAUAACUCUUGGCAUAGCCACUGAAUUCGACCAUGUGGCGAAAAUAGCGACACAACAUCUACAAAUAUAUUAUGCUUCUUAUAAUGGAAUUAUGUAUCCGCUGAGCUUCUGUUUCCCAGGGCCAGCAUCCGAUAUAUUUUGGAAGCAAUAAUGUUAAUAAGGAUAUUAUAUUGAUAUAUAAGGAAAUGACAUUAUAAGGAAUAACAAUAAGGUGG